CCCGCCGCGCCCGGGCCGAGUUCGAGAGCCGCUGGUGCUUCCCAGGCCGUCGCGCUCCUGGCCGCGCACCCAGCCAGGGACCCAGAGGCCCUCAGCCCCGGGCUCUGCGCGUACACUGAGGGCGCGGCGCAGCAGGACAGCAAGAUAAGGAAGCAGAGACUGAAGGGAGGAAUCCCCGCUUUCCGGGGAUGAUGGCGUUCGAGUUGGGUCUGUGAGGGAUGAAAUAGGAGUUGGCCAGAGGGAGAGAGGGACUCUAGGCCUCGAGAAGAGCACGUGCAGAGGUUCCGUGACACGAAAACGCCAGGUGGGUGCGGGGCUGGGAGGACAGGAGGCAGAAGGGUUUACGGCUCCACAUGGUCGCCGAAAUUUUAGGUCCCUGAGAGUAAAGGGGUGCAGCUGAUUUCAUCUAGAAAGCCCCUGGCCGGGAGGAGAGAACGAGCUUGCUUGCCUGGGGUUGCAAAGGAGUGGGUAGCUGAGACGGCCAGCACCCCAGCAUCCUGACUCAGGGCCAGACGCUUCACCCCAUUGGGCGGCGUCUGGAGGAGCAGACACAUCUCUUGUGGGUACCCUCGAAAGUGAAUCAUGGGUCGCAGGGAACUGUGGUCAAACCGUCUCUAGCUAGAUGCUAGAGAGCCAGCUCUGCAGGCUCAGGCUACUGUGAGACACGAAAGGAGGGACUCGCUGGGCACAGCCUCACCCUGGGGCAUGCCAGCAGGCCCUGCCCUCUGAGUGUUGGCAGACUUGAACAUCCCUAGGGAACGAGAGAAGUUGGGCAACGAUGGGAGAGCAGUGCAGGCCCUGGAGGUGACGAGUCUGUUGAGAUUCUGAUGGGGAUGGGUCAGAGGACGUAGAAAGCAGUGAAGGCCUAGACGCCCCCAGGUCAGUGUAGCCUGCUCUGCUUCCAGUGAGCUGGGCUCAGUCCCCCACAUGUCAUUGUCUUAGACGCCCAUGGCCUUUGCACAGGCCGAGCCUGAUGUUUGGAACAUCGUCGCCUCUAGGGGGCCUGGCUCCUAAUCAUGCAUCACCUCCUCCAGGAGAACUUUCCUGCCCCUACACUGAGUUCAAGCUUCUCAGACACCAGCCCCAGUUGAGUUCGAGUUAUAACCGUCACCAGUUAUCACACCAUCCUGUAAUCUGUGCGGUGCCCCUUAGGGCAGGACCUGGGUCCUAGAUGUCUCUGUACCUCUAGCCCCAAACCAGGCCUGACCUGUCUCUUGAAGGAGUAUUUGUGUUGAAGAUGGGUGGUAACGUUCAGCAAAAGCCAUGCCCAGGAGACAGGCACAGUACCCAUGGAGACCCAGGGCCAGCUGAUGACAGUGAUGAAUUCCCUUUAGAACUGGCGGACUCUUGGGUGCUUGGAGACACUAUAUAAAUAAGGAACUCUGGCUGUGUGCAUGGGAGAGUAUAUUAACAGGGCUUGGCCUGGCUGUGAGGUGCAGAGAUGCCGUUUCUCUCAGGCUGGGAACUUCAGGAAAGCCAGGACCAAGUCAAUCUUGAUCUAGGCUCUGUCUUCAGCAUCUAGAACCAGGCUUGGCACCAACUGAGUAGGACAAUUUGGCCAUCUACACACUGAUAUAUAUGCACAUCCUUGGACCCAGCAGUUGCACUCCAGUGUGCAACAGGAUGAAUGGUUACAGAUAUCAUGGUACAUUCAUAAGACAGAAUCCAAUGCAAUUCAAAGAAGGAGCUGGAUCUAUGUGUCCUGACAUUGUAAGUAUAUGUCUGAAAUACUUCAUAAUACUUCUUAAAACCCGACAGGUUUAUUUUUGUUUCUAAUGUUAUAUUCUGUUUCUUUGUCUUUUUUUUUUUUUUUG
rnacentral:lncRNA from 1 species